rnacentral:rRNA from 1 species
AUUGAACGCUGGCGGCAGGCCUAACACAUGCAAGUCGAGCGGAUGAGUGGAGCUUGCUCCAUGAUUCAGCGGCGGACGGGUGAGUAAUGCCUAGGAAUCUGCCUGGUAGUGGGGGACAACGUUUCGAAAGGAACGCUAAUACCGCAUACGUCCUACGGGAGAAAGCAGGGGACCUUCGGCCUUGCGCUAUCAGAUGAGCCUAGGUCGGAUUAGCUAGUAGGUGAGGUAAUGGCUCACCUAGGCGACGAUCCGUAACUGGUCUGAGAGGAUGAUCAGCCACACUGGGACUGAGACACGGCCCAGACUCCUACGGGAGGCAGCAGUGGGGAAUAUUGGACGAAUAGGGCGGAAACGGACCUC